rnacentral:rRNA from 1 species
GUCCCAGACUCCUACGGGAGGCAGCAGUGAGGAAUAUUGGUCAAUGGGCGCGAGCCUGAACCAGCCAAGUCGCGUGAGGGAAGACGGUCCUAUGGAUUGUAAACCUCUUUUGUCGGGGAGCAAAAGACGCCACGCGUGGCGUUCCGAGAGUACCCGAAGAAAAAGCAUCGGCUAACUCCGUGCCAGCAGCCGCGGUAAUACGGAGGAUGCGAGCGUUAUCCGGAUUUAUUGGGUUUAAAGGGAGCAUAGGCCGGUCUUUAAGCGUGCCGUGAAAUUUUGUGGCUCAACCAUGAGAGUGCGGCGCGAACUGGAGACCUUGAGUGCGCGGAAGGCAGGCGGAAUUCGUGGUGUAGCGGUGAAAUGCAUAGAUAUCACGCAGAACCCCGAUUGCGAAGGCAGCAUACCGGUGCACAACUGACGCUCAGGCACGAAAGCGUGGGUAUCGAACAGGAUUAGAUACCCGUGUAGU